GACCUGUCUACAGCCAUCAAAGACCUGCAGGACAAGCCAAUAGAAGAUGUUGCUUUUGCCUUGUACUCAAGCAAGUUUCAGCUGUACGAUUCACAGAGCACAGAUUUCCAGCAGAGAAUGGACUACAUACUGUCCCUCAUCCAGAUUAUCCGCCUACACUCCCACCAACAUUCCUCAUAUGGGGACAAGGAAGAGGAGCAGAUCGAACACCUUUGGGGGACAUUUCUCCGGGAAUUUAAGGAAGCCUCUGAGUUCACAAUUAUGCAGCGGGACAGCACCAUUG